UGGAACAUGGUUUGUCCUAAAGCCUCUUCCAUCACACAAAUUUUUGGUUCUUCAUGAUGUAAGAAAAUUAUGAGAAUAACAUGUUCUGAGCGUUUAGUUUAUGUAUCUCUUCUAAACUAUUCCCUUUCUUGUUCUUCUUAAUCUCUUCCUGUAUGCCAUUUUACAACCGUUUAUGAAAAUUAAAAAUGGCUACUAUAAUUUUACCCAAAAGGUAAAUAAAUAAAGAAAAUGAGGAAUUUUACUAUUGUAACUUUUAAAAUUACACGCUCAUCAUUUCUUAAAGAUAUAUUAUGAAUUACAUGAAGGGAAAAAAAUAUUUGAGUUGAACCACAAAUGAAGUCAGAUUUGGAGUAGGAAUACCCAUCGUCUUCGCAUCAAUAAGGAGAAUCCCAGCAGAAAUAGUAAUAUCCGAAUUAUUCCACAGAAGCAAGAGUUCGCUUCAUAAUUUAAAAGUCAUAAAGGUAAUAAACAUAAUAACAAGUUUUAGGUAGCAAUACCUCCAAGUUUGAGCAGAUGUUAAUUAUUGGUGUCAAAUCCUAUAUUUGCUUGAAAGAAAAAUAACACCCAAAGUUAAUUCCUUCAAAUUUUUUAAACAUCAUUAUCAUUAGUAAAAUUUUUAAAUUUUCAUAAAUAUAUUAAUGGCCUAACAAAUGUAACAUUUAUUUAUAUAUAUUUUUACUAUAUUUUAUAAUAUAUUUGUUAAAAUCUUAACCUAAUAACUAUGAAUGAAAUAAUUUCAUAUUUUUAAUUGCUUUGCUUUUCUUUUUCUAAGACCAAGAAAUUGUGGUAUGUAGAAAAAAGUAAACUCCACUAAAUGACAAAGAAAAUGAUAGGAAGAUGAUACAGAGGAAGUCACUGUAGAAUUGUUGACCUCGAGACAUUCAGGGUUAAAAAGUUCAAUGCUCCAUAGAAUAUAAUUAAAAAAAUUUUGAAAAUAUUUUUUUUAGUUUUUUUUUAAAUUAAAUUGAGUCAAAUAAAAUUUUAGUCUAAUUGAAUCGAAUUAAAUUGUUACAAUAUAAUUAAUUCUAUAUGAAAACAUAUAAUAAUAAAAUAAGAUAUUUUAAUAUAAUAAAUUUAAUUCAUUAAUUAAUUUAAUUAAGUUUUAAAAUUAUUAUGUUAAAAAAAUUUAAAAUUUAAAAUUUCCUUAUAUGAUUUUUAGAUUUUUUUUUAGAAUUUUAUAACUUUUUAAAAAUAUAAAUUUAAAAAUUUUUAUAAAUAUUUUGAAUUUUAAGAAUAUUUUAAAUUUUUAAAAUAAAUUUUUUAAAAUUUUAUUGAUAGAGAUCAAUUAUUGCUUAUUCAUUCUUAUCUUUAAUGAGUAACAAAAUUUCAGUCAGAACAUAAACUUUAAAUAACCAUUAACCAUACAUUCUUACCUUAUUCAUCUCCUUUCUCACUCCUCCUACAAUACCAAACACUAGAGUUUAAACCCCCACUUCAUUGAUGAUGAAGGUGAUAGAUGGAAUAGCUCAACAAAAGUUUUGGUGAGUAGAUUUUACCAGGAAAGAAUGAAACAUGGUGAAAAUUUUGAAGAAAGUGUGUAGAGAUUGAAAGAAAAUGGAGAGAACUGGAGAAAGUUCUCCACACUUCCGCGGCCAACCAG
rnacentral:lncRNA from 1 species